UUCAGUUUGGCUGCAGAUAUGCUAAAAUUGGAACGAUACAGAGAAGAUUAGUGUGGCCCCUGCAAGGAUGACAUGCAAAUUUGUAAAGCAUUCUGUACUUUU